UGUUUUGCAUUAUCUUUGAAAUAGAUUGACUAUUAUUUUAGAACUUCUCUGACCCCUAAAAAUAUGUCCCAACUCUUGAAAUGCUGAUGAAGAAAGGUAUCAUUUAUUUGUAUUUCACAAAUAGGAAACUGAGAUACUGUGAUUCUGGUCAAGUGGUCUCAAUGAAUUUCUGUGCAUAAUUUUUACAAUGGCAAAGGCUAACAUAGGGCCAAGAUCAAACAAAACUUAGAACAGGACAAUGACUGAAGCUAGAACACUUCACACUGAGCUUGGACUAUCCUUCCCCGCUUGUAGCAGGAGUUUUGCCUCAGUAAGAACUAUAAAAUUAGGUCUUUAUGCAUGUUAACAUUUUUUAUAUAAUCCUUUAAUCAUAUCUCAUAGAUGUUGUAUGUGCAGUAUUUAAUAAUGGAGUACUUAUUCUCGGUCUGCUUGGGUUCAAAUGCCUGUUCAGUAAACUAGUUCUGCAUUGUGGGGAUGUCAUGCCAAAAUAUUGAGCUUGUUUUGAGCAAAAAACCCCAACUGUGCUCAGUAUAACUCAGUGCUGAAAUUAUUGUAGGACUAAGCCCUAUGUGCCAGAUACACUAUUUGAAUUAAGAGACUCAGUAGAAUAUUUUUGCAGCUUUUCUAAUUAAAAUAAUAAUUAUGUAGUGUCUAUUAGCAUGGAAUUCCAAAUGUAAGCCUCAGGGUCAAAUGGCUUAGAAAAAUGAAAUUCUCUGCUCCCUUUGUAGGAAAAAUAGGAGACGAGCCAGUUCUGGGCAGCUUCAUUUGCAUAAGCUACAAAUAUUGCUUACCAAUAAUUCCAUCUACUGAAUUCUCUUUAGUUGGAAUCUUUCUGAAUAAACGACAAGAAAUUACUGCUCAUGCACCCCAGCAACAUGCAGCCCAGAGCUGGUCAAUCCCUCUCAACAGUUACAUGCCAGCGAUUAUUCCAGUUCCACCAUUGAUCCAAGAUGACUUAUCUCAACAGGGAGUCGUUCUGUUUACACUACUUCAGAAAUCUCUGAGAUGUUAUUUGAUCUACAGCAUCCAUUAGACACACAGAAUACAUUUCCUUCUCUACUGUUUCAUCUUAUUAGCAAGAUAUGGCAAUGACACUGUCUGCUAAUUGCUAUCCAACUAGUGCUUUGUGUCUUGUUAAUUUUGACUAAGACAUUUUUCCUGCAUAACACAGUGUAGAUAUUAUUAAUAGGGGAAAGAAAGGUAGUUAAUUGGUGUCAUGAGUGUUACACAAAUAUAAAAUUGACUGAUAAUCAGGGUUUUUUUGAUGGAAGGGUUGGCUCUUGUCACUGGCUUCUACUGUCCUUUCCUUCUACACCGUAAUGCAUUAUGUCUCAUCCUUGUAAAAGGUGCUGGGAUUCAUAAUUCAGCUACAAGAAGAAUACAUGCCGCUGCCUGUAACUUAUAACAAAUUAAUACAAAGGGAUGCACACUUUUUAAACCUCAGUCAGGUAUUCUUAUGGAAGUGAAAACUAGGGGUGUCCUACAUCAGAGUGCAUUCUUGCACCGAUUGAGUCUCCUGGAAAGUCUGCAAGAUACCAGGGCAAGACACGUUGUCUUCACAACCCAGUUACAGGAUCCACCAAAUAUAAAGGGAGAGAUACAUAUUGUUCUUAUUUGUGGAAGUCAAGGAAGAGAUUUGUGGAGAGAUAAGGAAGUCUGUCAACAGAAGUUCUGCUUCUAGUCCUCCUCUAUCAUAUAAGGGAGGAAAGGAAAUUUUGGUGGUUCCAGAAAGUGAUCCCUUGAGUCCUGAAAGAAAAUAACUUAAACUGCAAGGAACAGACUUUUUUUUUUUUUUUUUUUUUUUUUUUUUUUUUCCACCCAAACUACUUAAAAAUUCUAUUUGUUCUUGGACUUAGACCCAAACACAAACCUCCUGCACUACCUCAUCAAAAAUACAGGUUGAUGUUUCAGUUCUUAUGUCUUAUGUAUGCCAAUGUCCUCUGCUGCACACAGAGAGAUGCAUCUGAGGUCAAACAAACAAUGUCAAACAAACAAUGCCUUUUGCAGAGCAUCACAUAAUUGUUGAGAUAGAU
rnacentral:lncRNA from 1 species